UACGUAGGUCCCAAGCGUUAAUCGGAAUUACUGGGCGUAAAGCGCACGCAGGCGGUCUGUUAAGUCAGAUGUGAAAUCCCCGGGCUCAACCCGGGAACUGCAUCUGAUACUGGCAGGCUUGAGUCUUGUAGAGGGGGGUAGAAUUCCAGGUGUAGCGGUGAAAUGCGUAGAGAUCUGGAGGAAUACCGGUGGCGAAGGCGGCCCCCUGGACGAAGACUGACGCUCAGGUGCGAAAGCGUGGGGAGCAAACAGG
rnacentral:rRNA from 1 species